UGUGUGUGUGUGUGUGUGUGUGCAAACACACAAACAAACACCUCACCAGUUUGUCUGCUUUCAUACAGAGCCAAUGGAAACUAUAUGGUACGCAUCUAUGAAGUCUCUGGGUUCAGAUGGGUUCCGGUCUUCUUCAUGUUUUUCAACGAUUUCUCCCACAAAGGAUUUCAGUUCUCCCCAGUUUCUUUUAACGGUCUGAUGGGGCCCUGGCAAGUGCUUCAUUAGAGUGGGAAAUGCAUUGUACAGCUGAGGAAACAAAUACUAGCAUCAGAUUUAUGUAGGGAAAGCCCUCUCAUAACAAUCGCAGAUCAUGCUACUAUCAAAGGAGAUAGCAAUCCAUGCGAUGGCUUCCCAUGAAGAUGGCUACCUGUUUGAAAAAUGCAUGCACCUUGCCUGACGAUAUCAGGAAAAUGAUGCCAAUGUAGCUUUCCCAUUUCAUGAUGCUUAUCUGCAUGGGGUGGCCUUUCACAGAUUCUAAUUGGUAGGUGGAGAGUAUGGAAUUAAGCCGUGUAUGUCACUUGGGAUUGCAUCUCUGUGUUCAUUGCAAGACAUGCUCUGGAUCUUAAGUCCUGCUUUUGAACACCACUCAAUACCCAGUGUUAUUUAGCUACAUAAAUAUUCCAGCACAGUGUGAGAAUGUUCCCAAUAUGGAAAAUAAAACUAACUAGCCUUCUCAUGA